rnacentral:lncRNA from 1 species
UGCAUAGACAGGGCAUAGACAUAGGUGGAUUUUAGAAAGAUCAGUAUGGACGAUAUUCUAGACGAAAUUGGACUUGGAGACGUUAAAGAAAUCUUUAGAAGAAAUCGGAUGGAAGUCUACCACUUACAUUUGGGGAACUUAUGUCGUUCAUUACGGGAGCUGACCACAUCCCGCCAUGCGGCUUCUGCCAAAAAGUUGUAAUUAGUUUCUACGACCAAACAGAUGGAACAGUUCGGUACCCGUCAGUGUCAACAUGUGCAUUCUAUCUAUGGCUCCCACGAGGAAUGGAUAAUGCAAAGGAUUUUGCAGAGCCGAUGAUGGAUGCCGUGAAAAAUUCUCACGGUUUUCUAAACAUUUAAUGCAGUUCAAUUUCAGUUACAUUUUAAGAGGAGUAUCCUAACAUUGGAGUAUGUGACGAUUUCAGUACUUGGCUGUAGACGAUCCUUAUAAUGGGUGUAAAUGUCUUUACAUUGAAACAUGUCACAAUAUAUAUCAACUGAUAAAAUAAAGAUAA